rnacentral:misc_RNA from 1 species
GCAACCAUGGAAUCUCUCCAGCAGAGUAGCCUAACAUUUGCUACAAAAUUUCCUUCUUUUUGUUCCUUCUCUCCCACUCCCAACACCUUCAAGUUUCUUCACCCUUUCCCUUCCUCUGCUAUUCCUCUCACCGCCACUACACCAAAACGAAUUUCUAGUUUUGUGCCUAAAGCUGCUGCUUCCACCGCUGCCUUUGCUCAAGACAUUGGUGAUGUACUAGCAGAUGUUUCAAUUUUCACUGCUACUGGUCAGUCCGUCAAGUUUGAGGACCUUUGGGAUCAAAAUGAGGAUUAAUCCAUUUUAUCUUGGGAGAAAUUAAUCCAUAACCUCGUGUACAGUGGGAUUAAAUUUCUUAAGGAGACACGGGAGUAGCUGUUGUUGCACUUCUGAGGCAUUUUGGCUGUCCUUGCUGCUGGGAACUUGCUAAAGCACUCAAAGAGACAAAGGAGAGAUUUGAUUCUGCUGGUGUAAAGCUAAUUGCAGUUGGUAUUGGUGCUCCUAACAAAGCACGUAUUCUUGCUGAAAGGUUACCAUUUCCAUUGGAUUGCUUGUAUGCUGAUCCAGACCGCAAGGCAUACGAUGUUCUAGGCCUGUAUUAUGGUGUUGGCCGCACAUUUUUCAACCCAGCUAGUGCUAAAGUGCUCUCUAGAUUCAAUGAACUGCGGGAAGCUACGAAGAACUACACCAUUGAAGCAACCCCUGAUGACAGAAGUGGUGUCUUGCAGCAGGGAGGGAUGUUUCUGUUUAAAGGGAAGCAGUUGUUGUAUGCAUGGAAGGAUGAAGGGACCGGUGACCAUGCUCCUAUGGAAGAUAUCUUUGAUAUUUGCUGCAAAGUUCCUGUUGCAUAAAUGCCUUCAAUCUGUGUUUCAUCUCUAUUCGAAUUUCCAAGGGAAGUGGAUGCAUAUAUUGGUUUAGUUCUCUAAUUGUAUAUGUUGUAUGUAAUUCUGAAACUUGUAACUAAGGGCUCAUUUGGUACGAGAUUAAGGGAUAAUUUUUAAUUUUAGGAUGGGUUGGUAUAAAAUCGUGAAAUAACUUUGUUCCAUCACCUCUAGUAUAUGAGGAUGGGAGGUAAAUAGUCCAUAUCAGAAUUUGAAAUUGUAUGAAAUUAUAUUAUCUAGUACUGGAAAAU